rnacentral:lncRNA from 1 species
GCCCCACCCCCCAAAAAAAACAAAUUUUAUCACUACCUUUCUGUCUUUUUCUGCAAGAAGGAAGAGAAAAAAUAUUUGAAUUUGCUUUUAUUUUGCCAUAUAUAUAGUGUGAUAUAAUGGCUUAUAAGAAAUUGGUAAAUAUGAAGCGAUGGAUUGACGUGGCACCAUCUCUUCUUUCCUCCCCAACAAAACGUAGUUCUCAUUCUCCAAAGCUUGAAACUAUCAAGGAAGAUGAUGGAGAUGAUAAAAACACCUCAAUAUUACAGAUUUAAUUCUUCAAAAAUCUUUAAAUUACAUUUUUUCUGGUUAAGGGAGGAAAAUAGGAUCAUCUUAUAUUAUUGCCACGGCCAAAGAUUUACAUAGUUGUUAGAACAAACAAUGUGAACACUUUUAUUGUCAAGAAGAUUAUUGUACUUACAAAACAGAAUCAAUCUAUAUGAUCUGAUUCCUCUUCUUAUUUAUUUUUUGAGAAUGUGUUUGAGAAUCAAGGAGGCGUGCUCUUAUGGUAAGCAACCUCCACUUCAACCAAGAGAUUAUGAGUUCAAAGUUUCCCAAGAGUAAGGUGGGAUGUUAUUGGAGGAAAGGAUAUCGGGGGUCUAUUUAGAAGCAGCCUCUCUAUCCUAGUGUAGGGGAAGAUCUGCGUACACAUUAUCCUUUUUAACCCUACUAAGUGAGAUUAUACUGGGUGGUUGAAACCUACUAAGUGAGAUUAUACUGGGUGGUUGUUAUUGUUUGAGAAGCAAACUGUUUUUAUCUAUUUCAUGUGUUUGUAACUAUGUUUGUUUAAUUAACAUUACAUGGGUUUAUACUGUUAUACACCAUAUUGUGUGUUGGUGUUUGCAAUUUUUCGUGUUCAUGAGAAAAGAAAAAGGAAGAGGGUUUGACGGUAAAAGUGAAAUGUAAUAUGGAACACAAGAAAAUUUAAAGAAGAAGAAAGGGAAUCCAAACCAAAAUAUACUUUCCACUCAGUUUCAUAUUUCCUGAAGACAUCAAGGAGAGUGUAUAAACAUAGGAGAAACGUUGAUAGAAAUUUUUAAUAUAUUUUAAAAGGUGUUCUCCAAAACGUCGAUAAGAGAUAUAUUACACUGUACGCACCUCGCAUCAGAAAAUAGGUGUUUGGAUAGUUUACUAUUGUAAUGAUCCGGCGAUUGUUAUUUCAC